UGUGGCCAAGCGGAGGCAAAAAGCAGCAGAUUGGAAAUCAGGGAAAUAUUUAUUCUGUCCCCCCAAUAAAAGCUUCUCCUCACCCGUUUGGGUGAGCAGACAGAACUGUAUAUUCCACACACUAACUGUGCAGUAAUUUGCCUGGCAGCCAUGAGCUGGUGUGUUUCUGAGAGUCCUCUUGCCGCUGAAGGAUUACAAACUGCUCAAAGCCUCUGAGAAGGUGACUGGCAGAGCUCCAUGGUUGCCGGGGAGGGAGAGCCAGCGCCACCACAACACCUGCUCCAUCUCCUUUCCCUCCUACCUCUGAGAGCAAUCUGCCCACCUGCUUCCAUGGUGAAACAGACACACCCUGCUCGCGGUUCCUCCCCCCUAGCCUGCAGCUAAAGUGGAGCUAGUCUGCACAGGAGCACAGAUGCAGACAGAGCUCCAGCAUGCCUGGCCACCAUAUCCUGGGAGGGAGGGAUCAACGGAGCUGUGGGUCUUUUGUGUAGCUGCCACCACUAAAAAAACGCGCCCCGCAAGGUUGUGUUUGCUCUCCUUUUCCCCCCCACCUGUCAUCAGUAGUUUCUUUCAUCUGUAGGGUGCAGCCCGGAGACCAUUCCUCGAGGCAGCCAAGACAUUAACUCAGUGGAGAGAAGGAGGUAAAAACGACAGAGCUGAACCUUUUCGAGGUUGGAGCAUGGUGUACAAAAAGGGGGUUAAGCCGAGGAGCUCUGGCUACUCGCUGACGAACACCCCCGUACUAGUUGUUGUGAUUGUUGUUUUAAUGAUUAUAUUGUGUAUUUACCUGGAGAUGAUGAUGACAUUCCCUUGGUGACUGUUAUUAAAAUGCUCUGUGCCAUGGCUCGUCUGAUAUUAUGAAUAAAUUAGUAAGAUUUA